CAGUCGCCGCGGGAAUACGUAGGUGGCAAGCGUUGUCCGGAAUUAUUGGGCGUAAAGGGCUCGCAGGCGGUUUCUUAAGUCUGAUGUGAAAGCCCACGGCUCAACCGUGGAGGGUCAUUGGAAACUGUUAAACUUGAAUGCAGGAGAGAAAAGUGGAAUUCCUAGUGUAGUGGUGAAAUGCGUAGAGAUUAGGAGGAACACCAGUGGCGAAGGCGGCUUUUUGGCCUGUAACUGACGCUGAGGAGCGAAAGCGUGGGGAGCGAACAGGAUUAGAUACCCCAGUAGUCCCUGUCUCUUAUAC
rnacentral:rRNA from 1 species